rnacentral:rRNA from 1 species
UACGUAGGUGGCAAGCGUUGUCCGGAAUUACUGGGUGUAAAGGGAGCGCAGGCGGGAAGCCAAGUCAGCUGUGAAAACUACGGGCUUAACUUGUAGACUGCAGUUGAAACUGGUUUUCUUGAGUGAAGUAGAGGUUGGCGGAAUUCCGAGUGUAGCGGUGAAAUGCGUGGAUAUUCGGAGGAACACCGGUGGCGAAGGCGGCCAACUGGGCUUUAACUGACGCUGAGGCUCGAAAGUGUGGGGAGCAAACAGG